rnacentral:rRNA from 1 species
UACGUAGGGGGCUAGCGUUGUCCGGAAUCAUUGGGCGUAAAGCGCGUGUAGGCGGUCCGGUAAGUCCGCUGUGAAAGUCGGGGGCUCAACCCUCGGAUGCCGGUGGAUACUGUCGGGCUUGAGUACGGAAGAGGCGAGUGGAAUUCCUGGUGUAGCGGUGAAAUGCGCAGAUAUCAGGAGGAACACCAGUGCGAAGGCGGCUCG